AUUCUUUUUCCACCGGUAGCCUUGCUCCACCGAGAAAANGAGGGAGCUGGCUGAACGGGUNGUAGUUAACACNCUGGCGCUNACCGUGACCCAGUCAUAACGGGCGAUAACACGUUGGAANCANGCUGCUANUACCGCUAUAACAACUCAAAACCGCNNGNUUUUGAUUUNNNNGGCNCUUUCGNGUGUCGCUGAUGNAUGGACCCGCGGGGCAUUACCUAUCNUGGUGAGGUAACNGCUCACCANGGNCNCNAUGCAUAACCGACCUGAGAGGGUGAUCGACCACAUUGGNACUGAGACACGGCCCAAACUCCUACNNUAAGGCAGCAGNAGGGAAUCUUCGGNAAUGGACUAAAGUCUGACCGAGCAACGCCUCNUGAGUGAAGAAGGUUUUCGGAUCGUAAAACUCUGUUGUUAGAGANGAACAAGGAUGAUAGUAACUGUUCNUCCCUUGACGGNAUCUAACCCCAAAGCCACGGCUAACUACGUGCCAGCAGCCGCGGUAAUACGUAGGUGNCANGCGUUGUCCGGAUUUAUUGGGCGUAAAGCGAGCGCAGAGCGGUUUCUUAAGUCUGAUGUGAAAGCCCCCGGCUCAACCGGGGAGGGUCAUUGGUAAACUGGGAGACUUGAGUGCACAAGAGGAGAGUGGAAUUCCAUGUGUAGCGGUGAAAUGCGUAGAUAUAUGGAGGAACACCAGUGGCGAAGGCGGCUCUCUGGUCUGUAACUGACGCUGAGGCUCGAAAGCGUGGGGAGCAAACAGGAUUAGAUACCCUGGUAGUCCACGCCGUAAACGAUGAGUGCUAAGUGUUGGAGGGUUUCCGCCCUUCAUUGCUGCAGCUAACGCAUUAAGCACUCCGCCUGGGGAGUACGACCGCAAGGUUGAAACUCAAAGGAAUUGACGGGGGCCCGCACAAGCGGUGGANCAUGUGGUUUANUUCAAAGCAACGCGAAAAACCUUACCAGGUCUUGACAUCCUUUGANCNCUCUAAANAUAGAGCUUCCCCUUCGGAGGCAAAGUGACAGGUGGUGCAUGGUGUGUCGUCAGCUCGUGUCGUGAGAUGUUGGGUUAAGUCCCGCAACGAGCGCAACCCUUAUUGUUAGUUGCCAUCAUUCAGUUGGGCACUCUANCAAGACUGCCGGUGACAAACCGGAGGAAGGUGGGGAUGACGUCAAAUCAUCAUGCCCCUUAUGACCUGGGCUACACACGUGCUACAAUGGGAAGUACAACGAGUNGCGAACUCGCGAGGCUAAGCUAAUCUCUUAAAGCUUCUCUCAGUUCGGAUUGCAAGCUGCAACUCGCCUGCAUGAAGCCGGAAUCGCUAGUAAUCGCGGAUCAGCACGCCGCGGUGAAUACGUUCCCGGGCCUUGUACACACCGCCCGUCACACC
rnacentral:rRNA from 1 species